UGGUCAUAGUGAAGCAUUAAGUCCAGCAUUUAUUGCAAAUGCUGAUACCACUCCACUAGAUAGAUGGGGCGUGCCCACAAACUUGGUUUAUGGCGUUGUUUACUUCGAACAACCAACACAUAGUUAUCUGGAGUCCGCCUCGCUGAAAAAAAUACAAAGCGUGGGCAUUUUGUGCACACGCGCAUGAGGGAGCACAACAAGAUUGUGGGACAGAAACGGGCAAAGGACACUGCAAGGUGGGUGUCAUGACGACAGACAUCUUGGAUUACUUCAUGGAGCAAAAAUAAAGUAUUUAUUUUAAUAACUGAGCAUUUCUAAAUUCAAACUGAUCCCUUGCCACUGGACACAGACACUUUAUGAGACGAAUCGACGACGAAGACUAAGAGAAGUGGUGAUCAGCAGACGAUGGGAGAGGUGGUCAUGAUGAAAUUGCCAUUAUAAAGGAACAUACAGUAAGUUCAGGGAAUACUUGUACAGCUGUGGGAGGAGAGGUGGUCAUGACCACACUGCCAUCAAACAACAGCUCCUCUUGAGUUGUCUUCUGUCCAUCCAGAAGAAUAUAGUUCACAGGAUACAGUUCUGCUACAACGACACACGCAGGCAAAGAAAAUCUGUUUCUCUCCAAGAAUCCACUCCAGGAAGAAGACCAGGCACCACACUGUAUCGUCUGCAAAACAAAAAAUAUAUAUCAUAAAUGAUACUCCAUUGCACAGUUUGAAAGACAGUUGAACUGUGCCAGCAUAACAACAUUAGGGUAGACUAGUUGAACAUGCAUACGUGAGGACAGGCACAGAUAUUACGUUUACAACAAUAUCUAGCCUAAUAGAAAGAAAUAUGGCAUAACCCUCAACCUUUGCUCAGUGACCAGACUGUACAAAUGUACCUAGGUAGAUAGGCAGACAGUAUAUAGCUACAGCAAUGUCUAACCGGCAUGCUUAGGCACAUAUGUUUAUAGUAAAAUCAUGAAUUCUCUGGCAACAGCUCUGGUGGACAUUCCUGCAUUACUGACAUUCCUGCAGUCAGCAUGCUAAUUGUAUGCUCCCUCAAAACUUGAGACUUCUGUUUGCAUUGUGUCAUGUCACAAAAUUGCACAUUUUAGUGCCUUUACAAGGUGCACCUGUGUAAUGAUCAUGAUGUUUAAUCAGCUUCUUGAUAUGCCACACCUGUCA